CAUCUACUCCCUCCGUCCCAAAAUUCUUAUGUUACAUUUGUCUAGAUAUGAAUGUAUCUAGUCAUGUUUUAAUAUUUAGAUACAUCUAUUUAUAAACAAAUCUAAGACAAAAUUUUUGGAACAGAGGGAGUACUUU
rfam:Hordeum vulgare subsp. vulgare, WGS project CAJW01000000 data, contig: morex_contig_289316